UCCAGACUCCUACGGGGGGCAGCAGUGGGGAAUAUUGCACAAUGGGGGAAACCCUGAUGCAGCGACGCCGCGUGAGUGAAGAAGUAUUUCGGUAUGUAAAGCUCUAUCAGCAGGGAAGAUAAUGACGGUACCUGACUAAGAAGCCCCGGCUAACUACGUGCCAGCAGCCGCGGUAAUACGUAGGGGGCAAGCGUUAUCCGGAUUUACUGGGUGUAAAGGGAGCGUAGGUGGCGUGCCAAGUCAGGAGUGAAAACCCAGGGCCCAACCCUGGGACUGCUCUUGAAACUGGCAGGCCUGAGUGCUGGAGAGGUAAGCGGAAUUCCUAGUGUAGCGGUGAAAUGCGUAGAUAUUAGGAGGAACACCAGUGGCGAAGGCGGCUUACUGGACAGUGACUGACACUGAGGCUCGAAAGCGUGGGGAGCAAACAGGAUUAGAUACCCCCGUAUCA
rnacentral:rRNA from 1 species